ACGAACGCUGGCGGCGUGCUUCACACAUGCAAGUCGAACGGAAAGGCCUGUCCUUCCUUGUGUUGGACGGGUACUCGAGUGGCGAACGGGUGAGUAACACGUGAGUGAUCUGCCCCCAACUUGGGUAUAAGCCUGGGAAACUGGGUCUAAUUCCCGAUAGGACUGCAGGGUGGUGCCUGUGGUGGAAAACGAUUUUCUAGUGGUUGGGGAUGAGCUCGCGGCCUAUCAGCUUGUUGGUGGGGUAAUGGCCUACCAAGGCGGCGACGGGUAGCCGGCCUGAGAGGGUGGACGGCCACAUUGGGACUGAGAUACGGCCCAGACUCCUACGGGAGGCAGCAGUGGGGAAUAUUGCACAAUGGGCGGAAGCCUGAUGCAGCGACGCCGCGUGGGGGAUGACGGCCUUCGGGUGGUAAACUCCUUUCGACCGCGAGGAAGCCGCCUGGUUGGAAGGGUGGUGACGGUAGUGGUAGAAGAAGCACCGGCUAACUACGUG
rnacentral:rRNA from 1 species